AAAAAAAUAAAACCAAUUCUCAAGGAUACAUGUUUCUGCAUUUCACCGCUAGAAAUUACAAAUUACAGACGGACGUGGUUCUAUACAAUAAGUUUUUUGAAGUAACUGUUGUCAUAAAUACACUCAAAUCUGAAAGUAGCAGCUCUACAGCAAUUCAAGGAACAUACAUAUGAAGGCACGAGCUUCAGUAAUCAGGAAUGGAAGCAAAGCGGUAUCCUUCAGCACCCCUCCAGGAGUAAUAUGCUAUCCUGGUCUCAUAGAAGCCUACAACAAUAAGAGCAAUGUCGUCUUUGUUAGCACAAAUCCCCAAAAAUGUCGCUUUCAUUGUGUAAAGUCAUAAAUUCACGAAAUUACAGUGCCGCAUAAUCAAUCAUACAGAAAUUGAACAAAGCAAGAAACAGACAGCAAAGCUUCACACUUUGUUCUGUAGUCUGUUACAGAGAACAUUGAUAAAUUAAAGGUGUAUUUCACAAGAUAGCAGCAAAUCAAACUCCAAAGAAGCCACAUCCAUGUAGGCCAGUUUCAGAAAUAAGAAGGAAAACUAAUAACAGAAGACAACUCCAUGUAUUUGACUAUUUUGGAGGUUUUUGCAGAUACAUUUUACUAGAUCUUUCUCUAGAGCCUUGCUCCAGCUUCCGAAAUCGGAAUCUCAUCAUUGCCAGUUCCACUCCAAAAACUGGUUCAAACUCAUAAGAAAAACCAAGAUUCUAAGGAGCGUAAGAACACAUUUUAACCACCUUGAAAAACAAUUAAUUCAAUUGAGAAUUGUUGAAUAAUUAAAAGAUUUAAUUUUUUCAAUUGGCAAUUGGAGUGCACGUGCAUGGCAUUGCAGUAUGUGGAAAGCAAUUUAAAUGGGCCCGCAAUUGACUUUCAAAAGUUGGAAUUAAUGGCUUAUGGUGGCGUUAAAUUGGAAAAUGAUUUCAAUUAGAAUUGAAAAAGGAUUUCUUUAGAAUUGUUGGAGAAGAAUUCGGUCAACUAGCAGUAUAAAAGGAGGGCCGCCUGAGGACAAGAGAAGGAGAAAAAAGGGCAAACGCAAGGCUGGGCAGAGAAGAAGAAUAGCGAGAGCAGCAACAAUUUGGCUUUAUUACGGCUGUUUUUAUUUUUUAUUUUUGUUGCUCACAAUUUAAGUAUGUCUAGUUAAUUUUCUUAUACUGAGAUUAAGGAUGAAACCCUAUUCAAUGAAAUAAUUAUCUUUUUAUUUAUUUAAUUUCCUAUAUAUGUUUUUAAUGAUUAUGAUUUUUAUUUCACAUGAUUAAUUAGAUGUUAUUAAAAUCUUUUCACCAAUUCUGUCAUGCAUUAUUGAUUGUUAGGAUUAAUAUUCGAUUAAAUUUAUGCUUGAAUCUAUAAAGUUUAUACAUGAAUAUCUUUGAUUCUAUGUCUUUCAUUAAAUUGUUUAUACAAAGUACUUAUGAAAAUUUUGACUCUUUGUUAUUCAAUACGUUUAUAUGGGACACUUAGAUAUCAUAUUAUUAAGCAGAAAGAGAACCUAUACAAGAUUAAUUUUAUUUGGGCUUAAUUAUUAUAUUCAUGAGAUGACAUAGAUUGAUUUCGAGUUGUCACUCUAAAAUUGGGGAUUAAUUAAUAAUUAGGUAAUUACUAGUUGAAUAGUGGUGGAUUCUGAAACCUUGGUAAUUUUUGUAUUAUUGAAAUCACAUUUACUUUAAUUGUUUUCUUAGUUUAAUUAGUUUAAUUUCUUUUAAAACUCAAUUUGCUCAACUAGGUUAGAAUUAAUAUUAAUUUUAUAUUUAAAUUAGACUUUUCAAUUUAUAACAAUCCCUGUGGGAUCGACCUCGUUACCACUAUUCUAUCUCUAGAUUUGUGCGCUUGUGAGUAUAUUAAAAUUUUCACAACACUUUUAUCUUUUUGCUUAGGAAAAGUGGAAUCCUCAUCGUUAUUUUUCCCUUUUAGAAAAGAAAAGAAAAGAAAUAAAUAAAUAUCAAAUUUUCUUAUUUCCUAUUUGUAUUUUUCUUUCCUUCCCUUAGAAAGAUAGGAUUAUCACUGACUUGACUAAGAGUUGAAUAACAUAUAAAUAAGUAUUGAUUGCAUUAACAAAUCCAAUCAAUCACACAUUAAAAUUCAUCAGCUAAAUCUCUUUUCUCGCCCGCUGCUGAAGUCUACAUAUUAAUGUAAGCAAUAAGACUUUCAGGAAAAAAAAAAAAAGGAAAGAAGAAAAAACUCAUUCUCUUUGCAUAAAUUAUUUCUAUUUACGUGCAUGAUUAAUUUUAUUCGUUCUAUUUUUAUUCAGGUAUUAAUUUAAUUUGAAAGUAUAGCUCAAUUGUUUGUUUCGUGGAACGCUUUUUUUUUCCCCGUAUGAAAAGUGGUUCAAUUGUUUGUUUAAUUAUUGCAGGCACUUAGACAAAUUUAGAUUCAACUAAUUAGAAUGGCAAUAAUAGCAACGAUUACGGGGGUAGUACUUGUUGCCAUACUUUUGAUCAGAUUUAUAUUUGAGCAAGAGCAAGAUUCGGAAGCGCAUCAUCAGGUACGUGGUUAAUUGCUUACCAUCAUUAUAUGUAAAUACUUGUUUAUUAUUAUUAUUAUUAUUUUGUUGCCACAGGAAAAAAAAAAAAAAGUGUGUCUUUCUUUUGUGUGAGUAUGAUUAUUUGUUUAUUUAUUAAUAGUAUAAAUUUUACAUGAUGCUCAGACUCAGGGAUUAGAUUUCAGCGACAAUAACGUGGGUCAAUAUUCAAAUUAUCCACCAGCAACACAAUCUGAGUACUCAGAAAAGGUCGGCUGAGAAAUUAUUCAUAAAAUUUGAUGACAGUCAAUAGAUUGGAUUUUAUUAAUUAAUUUUGUGUUGUUAAUAUUUAUAAUUUACUGUGACUCCAUAUCGCUGAACCCUUAAUUUUUUACAUAUAUAUUUUAGGAAAUUAUUAUUCCCGUUCCUAUUAUUAUUAUUAUAUGUCAGAGAUGGACGUGUUUGUUUUGAAUAUAUUUUUUUUAUAUAUUAUUUUUUUAAUUUUUGCAGGAUAAUAUGUUUGAAAACGGAAAUAUUAAAGGAUCACACGGUUACACGUCCAUCAGUACUCGUACUACUGACGAUGCCAACUAUCAAUAUAACAAUAUGGUGGUGGGUUUUGUCUUUCUUAAUUUCUUAAUAAUAUUAAUUAAUUUAUGUAUAUAAUAUUCUGCUCUUUGAUUCAUAAUUACUGAUUUAUUAUACCUGUGCAGGAUAAUAGAUUCAUAAAAGAGAAUAAUGGACAAAUUACUGAUUAUAAAGAUAACUUUUUGAGGGAUUACAAAUUUGAAAACUAUAACAGCAACUACAAGGGACAAAAUUACACCUCUCCCCCUCACCCCUGCUACAAUUAUAAGAUGGUGGGUUCUUUUAACAUUAUAUUAUGUAUUUUUUUGUUUCUUUACUCUUAUUGUUAAUUAAAUGUAGUUUCAUAUUAUAUAUAUGUACACACACACAAAUAUAUAUUCAUUUUUUUUUUUAACAGAACCAGACAACAUCGUCUUCUAAUAAUAAUCAUGCAAGCAAUGGAGGUUUUACUCGUAACUAUUGUUGCAACUGUCAUCGUUAUCAAGUAUGUGUGUGUGUGUAUUACUAAAUUAAAUUAUAUACAUGACUUUCAAUUUUUUUAUCAUAAUUAAUUAAUUAAUUAGUUGUUGGUGUAUAUAUAUAUUGUUUUGUGGGCACCAAUUGAAACAGGUUAUUACAGAGGAAGAAUUUAUUAAUCUUCGUGAUGGCCGACGUCUCUGUCGAAAUUGUUACUCAAUAUCAAUGAAGGAUGCUGAGGACUGCAAAUUACUUUUUCAUUUAGUUCGUAAAUUCUUCGGAUUAUUUGAUCUUAAACUCGAUGAGCGCCCUAUUUUGUUGACGGACGAAUAUGAGAUCAUGAGGCUGCGAGGAUUAAAAGUACGUAACUUUAACUUAGGCAUCGUCAUGUUAAUCAAAGGUUUUUUUUUUUUCUCUAUUUCAUCUAUAUAUCUAUAUCUUUCUGGUUUUUUUUUUUGUUUUUUUUUUUUAAAUUUGUUUCUAAUUUAUCUAUAGGAAAGGGCCAACGGUGUAUUUGCAAGUAAAGAAAGUUGGGUCGGUAUAACAACAACGAGGGUAAGAAUUUCGCUCAUCUUAUUAGACACUUAUGAUUUAUGUCUGUUCUUUUGUUGUUUUUAUUUUCAUCAACAAACAGUCACAUUAGUAAUCGUAUAACUUUGACCAAUAUACCUUGCUGCUUCUAUUGUUUAUUAACCAUAAUUUAUGAAAGCGCAUGCCAUAGGAAACAUAUUGUGAAUAUUUAUAAAUAUUUUGAGCUUUUUUUCCCUCUCUUUUUGAGACAAGUAGCGAAUAUUAUGUUCUUUUAUUCUUUAUAGCGAAAGGAGUUGGGAAGAAGUUGUUAAUAAUAAGAUUAUUGAGAAAAAUAGUUUAAAGAAAUAUCCUGUAAAUUUUUAAUGUAGUUGCUAAGUUAAAAGCUAAGAUGAGUAGUGGUUCUUCGUCCAAUAAUUUUCGUUAAAUUUCUCUCUUAUUUCGUUCUAUAAUAUAUAUUGUAAUUAAUUUUUCCAAGGAAAUUUUAAAAUAGAUUGAAAGCUGGUCUUUGGAAGGAGGGGAGAUUAAAAAAAUUACUGUGCCGCAAAAGAAGACCAAUAAAGAGGCUUGGGUUUUACUAACGUUCGGUUAUCCCAAGUAAUUUUCAUUUCUUUCUCUCUUUCUCUCUUUCUCUCUCUAUACAUACAUACAUACGUACGUACACACACACACAUAUAUAUAUAUAUAGAUAUGCACUUUUUUUCCUUUUUUUUUAUAAAAUAUAAUGAAGCAUUCAGUCUUGUAUUAGUUUAAAUUUAUAAGAUUAAAUUUCCUAUAUAAAGGGUUAAGACUGGAGCAACCUUGGCGCAUGAAAUGAUGCAUUCGUGGUUCUAUACUAACGGUCUUAGAGGUAAGUUAAUUUGUCAUUUAGAAAAAAAGACCUUAAUUUUGCUUAAUCUUUGAUUAAGGUUUUUAAGCUGGGAAUCUAUUAAGUGUACGUCUCGCAUCAUCAUCAUCAUCAUCAUCAUCAUCAUCAUCUGUUUCUGAUAAAUAACUGUGUAAUAACGCAGGUACUAGAAAAUUGAAAAAAAAUGUGGAAGAGGGAAUUUGCCAGGUGAUGUCCGUCGGAUGGACUGAUUGGUACAUAGCUAAUGAAUAUGAUAGUGAUGAUCAAUUUGUUCAAAAAUUAAUACCAUUUUAUCAAGCUUGUCGGGCACAGACGGAUGGGUACAAAGAAGCUUGGGAUGUAGUUCAGAAACAUGGCUUAAAGCCUACGUUGAAACAACUUGUCAAAACUAGAAAAUACCCCAAGCGUUAGGCUCUUGCAAUUGUGAGACAGACAAUAACUGAUUAUAAUUUUAUAUAGUAACUUUCCUUUAGUCUUCCCGUCACCAUUUCUUUAAUUUCAAUUUUUUUUUCCCCAAGACCUGAGACACAGCUAGAGUGCAAGGGCGGGUUUUUGAGUCACCAUUGCAAUUUCAUAGAAGCAUCACAACAGAAGAUGCGUACUUCUGGGGAAAAAAAAAGAUAAAAUAAUAAAACCAAUUCUCAAGGAUACAUGUUUCUGCAUUUCACCGCUAGAAAUUACAAAUUACAGAAGGGCGUGGUUCUAUACAAUAAGUUUUUUGAAGUAACUGUUGUCAUAAAUACACUCAAAUCUGAAAGUAGCAGCUCUACAGCAAUUCAAGGAACAUACAUAUGAAGGCACGAGCUUCAGUAAUCAGGAAUGGAAGCAAAGCGGUAUCCUUCAGCACCCCUCCAGGAGUAAUAUGCUAUCCUGGUCUCAUAGAAGCCUACAACAAUAAGAGCAAUGUCGUCUUUGUUAGCACAAAUCCCCAAAAAUGUCGCUUUCAUUGUGUAAAGUCAUAAAUUCACGAAAUUACAGUGCCGCAUAAUCAAUCAUACAGAAAUUGAACAAAGCAAGAAACAGACAGCAAAGCUUCACACUUUGUUCUGUAGUCUGUUACAGAGAACAUUGAUAAAUUAAAGGUGUAUUUCACAAGAUAGCAGCAAAUCAAACUCCAAAGAAGCCACAUCCAUGUAGGCCAGUUUCAGAAAUAAGAAGGAAAACUAAUAACAGAAGACAACUCCAUGUAUUUGACUAUUUUGGAGGUUUUUGCAGAUACAUUUUACUAGAUCUUUCUCUAGAGCCUUGCUCCAGCUUCCGAAAUCGGAAUCUCAUCAUUGCCAGUUCCACUCCAAAAACUGGUUCAAACUCAUAAGAAAAACCAAGAUUCUAAGGAGCGUAAGAACACAUUUUAAGCACCUUAAAAAAUAGAAGGGAUUCCAAACAGUUUCAAGGUACUAAAUCGACAAUAAAAUUGACAGCAAACAUAGUGGAGAAAAGCUGCAUAAUGUUUACCAAUACAUCAAGUGAUGGUGGUCUAACAGCACUUGUCUCAACUCUCAAGAGCUACAAAUUGUGUUAGGUGAUAAAGCAUUAAAUUGAAGAGGCUAACCUCAGUAAUACACUUAACCUGAAACAAACGUUUAGUGUCUCAAGCAACAAUGGCGGUAGGAAGUGGUUUGCAAGCAUAAGGAGUAACUGCACAAUCUGUGUUCGAUUUCAUCUUUCAAAGAAUUAAGGUACCCACAAUAAGCUAAUUUUUCAGUGCUUUCCAGGUUCAAAACACUUUAGAAGGUGGGACAACCAAAAUACUGAUACAUUUUUGCUUCAGAGCUCUGCUAAAGUUUACAAUAGCCAAAACAUGUGGCCUAGAUCACAAAAAAAAAAAAUAAUAAUAAAAUAAAAUCUGAGAAAAUACAGGAAUACAAUAUAUGUCACAAUGAAUAUCAGCCAUUUUCGUUUGAAAAGAAUCAAAGUUCAAGAGUAGAACUCAAGACCAGCAUCUUAGAAUUGAUUAACUCUACAAUUAAU
rnacentral:lncRNA from 1 species